AUUUUUGUCAUUAAAAGCAACUCACGGCCUCCUGAACCUUCUUUGACGGAGACGGACUGUGGUCCUAGAUCACAUCCUCGGGUCUCAAGUCUGCGAGGACAGGAAGCACGUAACCGUCAGAUUGUACGGUUCGGGAGAACAGGUAGCUGGUUCCUGCAGGAAAGCAGAACUUGACCCAAGACCAUCUCUUGUCAUACAACAGCAAUCCUCCAAAGCUAGACGCGGUCUUCAUAUUGUUCACUGAGUAUUCAGAGCACUGAAGAGCCACAGGGGCAUUUGAAUGGGGCUGCUGUUAUUCCUGAUGGGGACUGCACGGCUGGCCACAGCGCGGACAGAACCACAUCUCCAAGGCAAAGAGAACCGUAAGGGGAUCGAUGCUUCAUCAUCUGACCUCUGAACUCAUGGCCCAGCCUUUCCUCCAUGAAGCAAAUGCAAACCAGAAAGAAUAUAUCCAGAAUGUUUCCUUCGGGAAAUCAGCAUUGCUGUGUUCCUUCGGGUCGACCCCUGGCUGUGUCUAACCUUGACUGACACACUGGAACAGAGUCUUACCCUCAUAGAUGUGGGGGUGGGUAGAUUCCGUGUGAGAACCAGUGCCCGUCACGGUUGGUGAAAUCAGCUUCAAGGUGAUCCUGGGACUUCUGUGCAACACAUUCUCUCACUGAAGCUCUGGAGUUAAGAGGCUUGCUGGCGGCUUUAUGGAACGUCACGUGGCCUCAUCCUUCCCGAGUGAAGGAUUUUCUGUGCUGUCAUAAAAGGUCAGAAUGAAGCCAGACACAUUUAAAAGGACAAGGUCAGGCCACAAGCCUGGGCCACAGCUCUGCCUUAUUGGCUUCAGAUCGUACAUCCUCAGGACUGUUGAAAUUAAUGCCAGCUUAGCCCCCAGAGCCUCUCACCUGCCCUAAAGGGAAAGUUCCGGAAGCUGGCUCAACCACGGAGGUGCCCAGAAGGUGGAGCUGGACGCACGGUUGAACAUUCUCAGGCGAUUGCAGGUGUCCACUUAUGUAUAUUUUAUUCAGAAA
rnacentral:lncRNA from 1 species